AUUGAACGCUGGCGGCAGGCCUAACACAUGCAAGUCGAACGAGCGGCGGACGGGUGAGUAAUGUAUGGGGAUCUGCCCGAUGGAGGGGGAUAACUACUGGAAACGGUAGCUAAUACCGCAUACCAUCAGAUGACCCCACAUGGGAUUAGCUUGUAGGUAAGGUAACGGCUUACCUAGGCGACGAUCCCUAGCUGGUCUGAGAGGAUGAUCAGCCACACUGGAACGGGGACACGGCCCAGACUCCUACGGGAGGCAGCAGUGGGGAAUAUUGCACAAUGGGCGCAAGCCUGAUGCAGCCAUGCCGCGUGUAUGAAGAAGGCCUUCGGGUUGUAAAGUACUUUCAGUCGGGAGGCGUUACCGGCAGAAGAAGCACCGGCUAACUCCGUGCCAGCAGCCGCGGUAAUAC
rnacentral:rRNA from 1 species